rnacentral:rRNA from 1 species
GGGUUGUGAGGUUAAGCGACUAAGCGUACACGGUGGAUGCCCUGGCAGUCAGAGGCGAUGAAGGACGUGCUAAUCUGCGAUAAGCGUCGGUAAGGUGAUAUGAACCGUUAUAACCGGCGAUUUCCGAAUGGGGAAACCCAGUGUGUUUCGACACACUAUCAUUAACUGAAUCCAUAGGUUAAUGAGGCGAACCGGGGGAACUGAAACAUCUAAGUACCCCGAGGAAAAGAAAUCAACCGAGAUUCCCCCAGUAGCGGCGAGCGAACGGGGAGCAGCCCAGAGCCUGAAUCAGUGUGUGUGUUAGUGGAAGCGUCUGGAAAGGCGCGCGAUACAGGGUGACAGCCCCGUACACAAAAAUGCACAUACUGUGAGCUCGAUGAGUAGGGCGGGACACGUGGUAUCCUGUCUGAAUAUGGGGGGACCAUCCUCCAAGGCUAAAUACUCCUGACUGACCGAUAGUGAACCAGUACCGUGAGGGAAAGGCGAAAAGAACCCCGGCGAGGGGAGUGAAAAAGAACCUGAAACCGUGUACGUACAAGCAGUGGGAGCCUCUUAAUGGGGUGACUGCGUACCUUUUGUAUAAUGGGUCAGCGACUUAUAUUCUGUAGCAAGGUUAACCGAAUAGGGGAGCCGAAGGGAAACCGAGUCUUAACUGGGCGUUAAGUUGCAGGGUAUAGACCCGAAACCCGGUGAUCUAGCCAUGGGCAGGUUGAAGGUUGGGUAACACUAACUGGAGGACCGAACCGACUAAUGUUGAAAAAUUAGCGGAUGACUUGUGGCUGGGGGUGAAAGGCCAAUCAAACCGGGAGAUAGCUGGUUCUCCCCGAAAGCUAUUUAGGUAGCGCCUCGUGAAUUCAUCUCCGGGGGUAGAGCACUGUUUCGGCAAGGGGGUCAUCCCGACUUACCAACCCGAUGCAAACUGCGAAUACCGGAGAAUGUUAUCACGGGAGACACACGGCGGGUGCUAACGUCCGU